rnacentral:rRNA from 1 species
CAGUCGCCGCGGGAACACGUAGGUGGCAAGCGUUGUCCGGAAUUAUUGGGCGUAAAGGGCUCGCAGGCGGUUUCUUAAGUCUGAUGCGAAAGCCCCCGGCUCAACCGGGGAGGGUCAUUGGAAACUGGGAAACUUGAGUGCAGAAGAGGAGAGUGGAGUUCCACGUGUAGCGGUGAAAUGCGUAGAGAUGUGGAGGAACACCAGUGGCGAAGGCGACUCUCUGGUCUGUAACUGACGCUGAGGAGCGAAAGCGUGGGGAGCGAACAGGAUUAGAUACCCCUGUAGUCCCUGUCUCUUAUAU